ACGUUCAGGUAAUCGCUGCAACUUAAGUUGUAGAGGAAAGUCCAUGCUCGCACAGUGCUGAGAUGCCUGUAGUGUUCGUGCCUAGCAAAUUCAUAAGCUAGGGCAGCCUGGUAUAGACUGGGUUGACGGCAGGGAAAACGCCUAAGUCCUUUCGGAUAUGGCGUGAAUACUUUGAAAGUGCCACAGUGACGAAGUCUUAUGAGAAAUCAUAAGAGUGGAACGAGGUAAACCCCACGAGUGAGAAACCCAAAUUAUGGUAGGGGCACCUUCUUGGAGGAAUUCAACGAAGAGAAGGACAGAGAAGUUCUCUGUAGAUAGAUGAUUACCACCGGAGUACGAGAUUUCGAUCGCUUGCAGUACGAAGGAACAGAACAUGGCUUACAGGA
rnacentral:RNase_P_RNA from 1 species